rnacentral:rRNA from 1 species
GACGAACGCUGGCGGCGUGCUUAACACAUGCAAGUCGAGCGGUAAGGCCCUUUCGGGGGUACACGAGCGGCGAACGGGUGAGUAACACGUGGGUGACCUGCCCUCAGCUCUGGGAUAAGCCUGGGAAACCGGGUCUAAUACUGGAUAUGACUCCAUGACGCAUGUUGUGGGGUGGAAAGCCUUGUGCGGCUGAGGAUGGGCCCGCGGCCUAUCAGCUUGUUGGUGGGGUGANGGCCUACCAAGGCGACGACGGUAGCCGGCCUGAGAGGCGACCGGCCACACUGGGACUGAGACACGGCCCAGACUCCUACGGGAGGCAGCAGUGGGGAAUCUUGCGCAAUGGGCGAAAGCCUGACGCAGCGACGCCGCGUGAGGGAUGACGG